AGAGUUUGAUCAUGGCUCAGAACGAACGCUGGCGGCAGGCUUAACACAUGCAAGUCGAACGCACCUUUCGGGGUGAGUGGCAGACGGGUGAGUAACGCGUGGGAACGUGCCCUUCAGUUCGGGAUAACCCAGGGAAACUUGGGCUAAUACCGGAUACGUGCGAGAGCAGAAAGAUUUAUCGCUGAAGGAUCGGCCCGCGUCUGAUUAGCUAGUUGGUGGGGUAAUGGCCCACCAAGGCGACGAUCAGUAGCUGGUCUGAGAGGAUGAUCAGCCACAUUGGGACUGAGACACGGCCCAAACUCCUACGGGAGGCAGCAGUGGGGAAUAUUGGACAAUGGGCGCAAGCCUGAUCCAGCCAUGCCGCGUGAGUGAUGAAGGCCUUAGGGUUGUAAAGCUCUUUCGUCCGGGACGAUAAUGACGGUACCGGAAGAAGAAGCCCCGGCUAACUUCGUGCCAGCAGCCGCGGUAAUACGAAGGGGGCUAGCGUUGUUCGGAAUCACUGGGCGUAAAGGGCGCGUAGGCGGCUUUGUAAGUCGGGGGUGAAAGCCUGUGGCUCAACCACAGAAUUGCCUUCGAUACUGCAUGGCUUGAGACCGGAAGAGGUAAGUGGAACUGCGAGUGUAGAGGUGAAAUUCGUAGAUAUUCGCAAGAACACCAGUGGCGAAGGCGGCUUACUGGUCCGGUUCUGACGCUGAGGCGCGAAAGCGUGGGGAGCAAACAGGAUUAGAUACCCCAGUAGUCC
rnacentral:rRNA from 1 species